rnacentral:tRNA from 1 species
ACGACCAUAGCUCAAUAGGAAAGGGUGCCGAAGUACCAAUUUGGAGGUCGCUGGAUCAAAUCCGGCCGUUCAUC